AAAUUAGAUAAGCAUUUAGCUCUCCUCGGGAGACUCAGUUUAUAGCCAAGUGGAUCCCAUUUGUAGGACGUGGGCUCAGCACACCCUGAAGGCUGACCGGUUGAAAAGGCUUAUCCUGCCCGUCAGGAAAGCAAGAACUCUCAAGUCGACAGUCUAGCUCCUGAGCUCAUAUGUGGACUUAAAUCUCUGGUUAAUGAGAAAGGCCGUUCAGUAAGAAGGUAGCUCCAAUGUACUGGGAAUUAUAAAACUGCUCCCUCAUCAGGCUUCUCUACAUUGGCCUUAGAAGUGACAAACCUUCAGAAAUAGCAGGCACCUACCCGUGGCCCAUCCAAACAAGAUCCUGACAAAUUCGAGAGUAAUUUGUAGAGACCGUGUUGUAUGAAAGAUAUUCAGGUUCCUAGAUCUAAGAACACCUGCGAGGAUUAUGAUAGCUGGAGAUUUCUUAAAUGAAAGCAAGAGUGAAUUUCUUUGUGUUGUUCCAGAAAAGAAAAUGAACGUGUCAUUGAAGGCACAUAGACCAGAGACACACACCUGUUGAAUGAUGCUAAUUUGCUGGCUGUGUUUACAGAAGAUGACCCUGCUCUCUUGGUUCCAACUAAUUGUACCAGGGGCCACAUGUCUCGGAUUCCCUUUCUCAAAAACCGAAAGAAGGAAAUUAUAGUCAGAUGGCUGGGGACAGUGGAACUGGCCACAAGAUCAGAGUUGGCUCAAUGGCAAGUCAGUGCUACUGGAGCCUGUCAGAUGAAUCCAGUCUAUAAAAAUAAGAAAGAAGCAGAUGUUCGGGGAGAAGAAGAGAGAUACAUGGGAAGCCCUUUCAUCAGCCCCUGGGACAGCACUGCCUGCCACAAUCGUUGAUCACUCCACGUCAGAAAAUUGAGAGCUGUGAGGCAGGGAGCGGGAGAGAGAAGCAAUGCCAGCUGCUAUGUGGGGAGUCCUUACUAUGUGCCUGGCCCAGGAGGAAAGAACCGGAUGGCUGAUUUCACUUUAUCUUUUCAACAACCCCGUAGAACAGAUACAACUAUUAGCCCCACUUUACAAGUUGAGAAAACCGAGACUUGCCCAUCAUCAGAGACCUAUUUUGGCAAAUCUGGCAUAUGUGGUCAUGCGUCAGGGUGGACUUUGUGGGGAGGCCUAUAUUUACCAGAGUGACUCUGAAAUUUACCUGCACUCCCAGUACCAUGCACAAACGUGGGCAGAAGUGAGACCGCAGAUCCAGACCCUUCCAGCGUGGGUGUAGACAGGAACCAGGAGCCUCAUGCACCCCAAGAUUGCAGUUACCUAAAUUCAUUUUGAAAAGAGGCGCCAAUUUUCUCCUCCCAUUGUGGCUGCCUCAGCGUGUGUUUGGCAAUUCUGAUUAAUUUCAUAUCUUAUAUUGGCUAGUUUUGUUCUAAUCCCUUUGUAGUGUGCUGGAGCCAGCUUGUAUGACUACUUGUUAAAUUUUCAGGAAAUUUGUGAGCCAGUUGUUGAGCACAGCAAUUAUUAAAAAUUAAGUUAUGUAAACUUGAAAUUAAACAAAUUGUAUUGAAAACAAAGGUAAUAAAUAUUCAAAUUCAUUUCCUCUAAUUACUGCAUUUUACUAUGAUCUAUGCCCUUGAGGUUAUUCAUUAUUUAUUGCCCUUGAGGUUAUUCUAUUAUGUCUGCAUAGGGAAAAAACUAUAAAGUGAUAUGCUACUGUGCUUAUCUUCCCAACUCGGCAUUCAGUGAUGUCACAUGUAGCUUGAAAUUGGCCACGGUCGGAAUCAGCAAACACUACAAGUCAGGACUUUUUUUCUAGGAGAGGAGGAUGGUGGUUAAACUUUUACCCGUACACCACUGAGUAGA
ensembl:lncRNA